CAGAAGGUGGCUCAGUGGUAGAGUGCUUGCCUUGCAUGCAUGAGGCCCUGGGUUCAAUUCCUCAGCCCACUUA
rfam:Dipodomys ordii contig_55488, whole genome shotgun sequence.